GACGAACGCUGGCGGCGUGCUUAACACAUGCAAGUCGAACGCUGAAGCUCAGCUUGCUGGGUGGAUGAGUGGCGAACGGGUGAGUAACACGUGAGUAACCUGCCCUCUUCUUUGGGAUAACGCCCGGAAACGGGUGCUAAUACUGGAUAUUCACUGAUUCUCGCAUGGGGGUUGGUGGAAAGGUUUUUUCUGGUGGGGGAUGGGCUCGCGGCCUAUCAGCUUGUUGGUGGGGUGAUGGCCUACCAAGGCUUUGACGGGUAGCCGGCCUGAGAGGGUGACCGGUGACAUUGGGACUGAGAUACGGCCCAGACUCCUACGGGAGGCAGCAGUGGGGAAUAUUGCACAAUGGGCGAAAGCCUGAUGCAGCGACGCCGCGUGAGGGAUGGAGGCCUUCGGGUUGUAAACCUCUUUCGCUCAUGGUCAAGCCGCAGCUUGGGGUUGUGGUGAGGGUAGUGGGUAAAGAAGCGCCGGCUAACUACGUG
rnacentral:rRNA from 1 species